UUUGGUCUACAUGGUUUAUGAACAGCCCCUAAUUCCUUUGUUAAACAGAAAUAGCCGUGGAGGACAUUAAGCUGGAAAACAUUCACAUCCAAGUGGAUUCUACACUUUCAACCACCGGUAAUGCAGUACUAGAACCACUAGCAGAAACUCAUAAAAAUAAGGAUAUAAAGCGGCAAAAAGUAGACCUACGUGUACAUGAAGGUGCGGCUGGCAAACCACUUCAUAUGCAGCUAAACAUCAACCAAAAAGAGCGACGUCCUCCGAGUAGAAAGCAUUCCAAAUCAGUUCGCGUGGCUGGAUUUGAAUUUCCUCUGACAUGCGAAGAAGAUGUCGACCGAUUGGAACUGAUGGUCAAACGGAAUCCUAUCAUCAGAAACCAAUAUAUCAAAUAUCUGGCAGCGAAUAAACUACCCAACAUGGAGAUUGCUCACAUCCUUUACCGAUUUUACAACGACGAAGCCCUCACGAAUUUCAACUGGACUGGCCAGGAACGGUACGACUCUAGUGCUUCGGGUAAAAAGAAAGCCAUGCAAAAGUUCGACAUUUUCAAUUCAUGUAUGCUAGAAGCGUGGUCCAGCCAUGGUGUUACGCAGGACGCUUUGGCUGGUUCGCUGAAGAAAGCUGUGCAGCUGGUUGCUCGACGGCGGUACAAUCUCAUCUACAAUCAGCGGAAACGAAUUCAAGCGCUGGAUCCCGAACACUGACGUUUUCUAAUGGAGGUCGUGAAAUAAUACAGCUUCAUAUACAGUUGUCAUUUAACUAAAAUUUUAUUCUAAUCUAGUACCUCUGUUGAGUUUUACCUUCUUAUAUUUUGAUCGUUACUAGAAUAAUACAAUAUAUUUCUUUUUGAUCUAGUACUUCACACGUUUCAAUCGUCUUCUGCUGACAUAUUCUUCAAAUUAAAUUGAACGAACAUUUUUUUAACUUUACAUAACUUAGUUUUUCUGUUUCCGUUGCAGCAACAACAGGGAACAAAAUGGAAAUGCCUACCACUUAUCCGAAAAUUGAAAUCAUCUCUCAAAUACGAUUGCCACCACCACAAGAAAAUCCAACGGUUUCGAGAUUGCACGGUUUACUGAGAAGAUCUAGCGUAGAAGAGGCACUUGAGAAAAUUCCUUUGUACAGCGGCAGCGACAUCUAUAUAGCAAUGGAUGACCUGGUAAAAAUCUAUUCUCCCAAACCGGCUCUCUACCCGAGCAAAGUCUGACAGCAAAUCGAAAACUUAUUUUGAUGUUGUGAUAUUGCAAAUUAUGAUUACUCAGGUUGACGUCGUUUUGGUCGUUUUAACGGUUAAAACAUCAAAAAUGAGAGCAGAAAAAUGUUCCUGUGACAGCAAGUUGAAAACAAUUCCUGCUAUCAGUGAUGGCAAAUUGAUUACUGUUUUUGCUAUCAGUGCGAAAAAAUGGAAAAAUCGUUAAAUUUAGAGUUUUUUCGAAUAAUAUGGAAACCUAAAUGCAAUACGCUAAUUGCACUGAUGGUAUAUCAUUAGAUGCUUUAUACAAAGUCGCCUAGAAGUUUUGAAAUGACUUAAAAACUUAAACAUUUGUAAUUAUUUUAAAUGACAGCAAAACGAUAUCAAAAUUUGAAAUCGAAAUUAAUCAAAUCAAUCUGAUAUCAAAAUAUGAUAUCAAUUUGCUGCUGAUUACAAAUCGUGUUUUCGAUUUGCUAUCAUUUUGUUGUUAGACUUUGCUCGGGUACACUGCCCGACUGUUGGACAUAAUAUUCGGUAGAGAGAUACUGGUGGGUGCUUGCAUUGAACGGCUGGUGGAUGAUGAUGAUUUGGAACAACUGGAUUCACAUAAACUGCGAUCUGUGAUUGGUAAGGACGUUUCUCGGCCUUUCGGGUAGUACCAGAUCGGUAUUCAAUCAACACUUUUUUUUUUGUUUACAGUGCAUGUGAUUAUUGUUAUCAGAAAACAAAACAUUGAAUUAUCAGAAUCGAUUGUAUUGGAAUACGUUUGUCAUCGGCUAUGCUUCCUAAAACAAAUGAAAAAGAAAAAAGUUAUUCAAGGCCAGUCUGCAAUCGAAUGUAGUACUAAUACUUCGUCAGUUUAAAUUUCUGGUAUAACAUUUGAAAAAUACUCCAAUGUUUAUGUAUUGUAAUAUAAAAAACCCCUUUCAACUUAAAUACUAACAUUAUUCUUCUUUAUAGAUCAGCGUAAUCUGAAACAGGCAACAAUGGUUAUCAACGUUCCAUGGAAUCGAAUACAGUAUUCAAUUGUUUAUUACUGUCAUUUUUUAAUGCAAUGGUGCAAUGGAGGGAAUAUAUGAUUUUUUUUAAAUCAACGAAUCUUAUACUUCUUUGCAUAAAUUAAGCCACUUCUACCACUUGAUGUAUUCUACAGUAACCGUUCUUGUAUCGCUAUGCGUUUCCAGGUUCCCCUAAACUCCGGGCGGCCAAGUUCGGUUACACCCAGAAGGGCAGGGCGAUGCUGCUGUACAACGGGUAUGCCUACAUCAAAGACCGCCAGGCUCAGAAGAGCUGCAACUGGAAGUGCUCGUUGUUCGGAAAGCUGAAAUGCCGAGCCAGGGCCGUUACGAAGGAGGUUAACGGGCGGCAGAUGAUGAAAAUCACCAAACCCCUGCAUAAUCACACUCGCGAAGUGUAUUCGUUUGAUAAGUGUAAAAAAUCUAAAGAAUAAGUUUCUGGCAAAAAUGUCAGAUGUUCUAUCACAAUGAAACAUAAGCAAACUUUUCAUUGUAUCUGUAAUCAACUAAGAAUUACGUUAUAAAAAUUAUCAUUAUAAUAAAAUAAACUCUUCUAUCAUUUAUGUACAAAUUCUAGUACUUCAUGUCUUAAGAUAUCGUUUCGAGUAUAUUUUUGGUGAUAUUCAUGUCUUCCUUGUCCUCAUUAUCACUUAAUUUUUCUCUCAGAGAUUGAAUGAUAUCGGGUCUUUGAUUAGUGAAGACAUUAGUGGCAACAUAGUACUAGAAUAGUAAGUGCAGACAAACUGAAACCUAAUUGAUACGACACGAAUGAGUGACUCACAUUUUUAUCUGUAUCCCCAACAGGAAACGUAAUCUAUGUACUGUCGAAGCGUGGCACCAAGCAUCUGUUUCACGAUGGAAACACCUACACUCCAAAUGAGCGACCCUACCCAGGGCAGCGGUCCCGAACGUGGAAAUGCUCGUUGUACUACCGGCUCAAGUGUCGCGCCCGCAUAGUCACCAGUGAAGCCGGUGGGCUACCCAAGCUGCGGGUGGUGGUUGCAGAACAUACCCACUCGAAAGUGUUCCCCAAUUUAACGCAUAAAUUUCGCAGUUUGUUCUAGUGGGUUGAACAAAUUUAACAAUCUAGUCUACUAAAGCAUUGUCCACUUAGAAUCCGGACUCAAGACAUAUUUUUUAGGGACGCUCUCAAUGAUCACAAUCUUCAUUCUUUUACAGCAGUCUGAUCCUACACUAGCCCUCUUUUAAUGGUGAAAAUUUCAUGGAUUUUCUUGCAACGAGUGAAAAGUUAUUUCAGAUUGAAGACAAGAGAAGGAAAAAAUUCUUGCACAAACACGUUGAAAAUUUAGCGUGGUCAGGUACGACAGUCGCAAAAAAUGUUAAUAUCUCCAAAACCAUUAUGUUUUUUGUGCACAGAUGUUGUUAAUCAUGACAUAAAGAAGAGUCCCCAGAAGAUUACAGCUUGGGUUCAUUGAUAGUCUGCUUGGAAUUCGAAGAUUUGGCAAGAAGUUCGAAUUCUGGGCAUCGUUUUUUUGAAACCAAGAUGAUGAGAACAAAUUUAUACAAGGAUGAAAGCCUCACUAACCACGUGCUGCUUUUUAAAAACACACACAAGGGAUCUAUAGAGGUUAUACCUAUUUUGAUGAUCUGUCACGGCAGCCGGAGCCGUUCAGUGGUAUCUUCAUGUAUGGGUAGUGUUUAUCAACGAAAAAACACUCAAAUUUCGCGUUCACUCUAUUCAACAAAUUGCCCCUCAUUUCGCAAUACGAAAGACGUUUGGAUUAUUUUCUUCGGAAUCCUAGUCAGACUAAUCAAGGUACUCAGGAAAUUGCAUAGACGACCUGUUUAUUGGACUAACAUGCUGAAGGGGUUGAUUCUAAAAUUUAUCACCGUUGUGCAGAUUUAUAAGGAAGUUAACGCGGAAAAAGUGAGAAAAUGUAUUGAAAAUAAAAAUAAAUAAUUUCAAUGUAAUUUUUCCAUGAAACUACAAUAUAUAAUCUUUGUUUUGAGAGCUUCACCUUUUAUGAUUGUUAUUCCAUCCCUGAGAUAUACGUGAUUUUGUCCGUCCGGAUUCUAAGUGGACAAUGCCUUAUUCAGGGAUCUCAAUGUUUUAUAAGUUAACAACCAUGCAUGCUUUAAGAGCAUUUUUUACAAUAGGAAAGAAGCGGAUUCUUCGUAAAUCUACUUUUUUUUUAUUAUAUUCCAGUUAUUCAUAAUAUAAAGGCAUUCAGUAGAGUGCGUCUGAUGGAGUACUAGAUUUGUAGUGAUGAGCUAUAUAAUGCCCAUGAUGUUUACACUAUUUCAUUGCAGAAAAGAAGAAUUUCUCAUCUCAUCAUACAAACAUCCAGCUCAGUAUCAUAAAUCUAGUACUACAUCGAUCCUGCCUUACAGGUGUAGUUUGCAGUUAAAACUUUGCAGGCACAUGGUAGGAUGGCACAUAUUUCCCAAAUAGAGGAGAACGUGCCUCUGGAGCCUAUCUACUGAUAGGUUCUGGCUACGCAUAUUGUAUUUUCAUUAUAUAACAAGAAGUUCUAGAUACUGGAUACCGUCACUUUCAGAAUAUCACAGUUCUUUGGUUGAUUUGCCAUAUGUUUCAAUUAGUUCUUUUUACUACAUUGUAUCAGUAAACGUAUCAUGCUUUAACGACUAUUUUAUACCAUUACAGAUAUUGUUUUCGUAGUGAAUAACGUGGGUGGCCUUCAACUAUGCGUAGAUGGAUAUCCCUUCAUCCGAUCGAGGACAACCGACGAAGUUCAUUAUUGGACGUGUAAACAACGAAAACGUCUAGGUUCGUGCCUCCGUACGUCGUCGAGAGAAAGGACAAAAACCACUGGUCAAGGCGAGCGGAUGUCACAACCAUCUGAUUAUCACGAAGUGCCAGAAAUAUGGAGAAAGUUCCAUGGUAAUGCAAACGAUGGCCCGAGACGCCAAGUUGUGGCAGAGAAAAGGAAACGUGUCACGUCAAAGAAAAUGCGAGCAGCACCAGCGGAAUAGUGUUUCUUGAAAUCUAGUUAUAAAUAUUUGAGAGAAGCUUCGUCUAGUUGCGUUCUAGUACUGCAUUGAUUUGUUUCGGCCUCUGCAAUUUGAACUUAGACAACGUAUUUUUAAAUGAAUAGUUUAAUACAUCAACCACAGUUUGUAUAAAUUUAUAACAAAAAGGUAUUAUUUUUGAUGCGUCGUGACUAGUUUAUCAAUAGUUUUUACAGUUGUCUCAAUAGUUCUCAAUAGUUACACUUGUUUUUAAUGUCUCCUCAGUAAAACGAAGACAUUCUGGAGCCCAGAUCGAGUACCGAGGCAGAGAUGUGACGUUUUCGCCAAGCUGCCGCGGUAUGCCAAAAAUGAUGCUGGAAGGGUACGUCUACAUUCGGAAUGCAGGCAAUGCUACCAAGACGUACUGGCUUUGCGAGCGUGGAAAGCGAUUCAAGUGUCGCGCCCGUGCGAUAACGUAUCGAGGCACGGGGCGUAUUACCAUCAACGAACAUUCCCACAAUCAUAUGCCGGGAUUUUAGAAAAAACUGCGUGGGUGGAACUGAAUUCUAUGAUAAAAUGUACUCCGUUUUGCCAUACAUGAAUUUCGUAGUACUAGAUAAGUGCCGUGCAUUUAUCAUUAUCAUGCCGUUUCAGAUUCUCUAACUACUCUAGUACUUUAUCAGUUAUCUAGCUCAUUUCAUAUGUCUCAAAUCCAACCAUCAACAUACUGCUAUUCAAAAAAAAGGACAACGCGGCCCGAAACUGAUCUUCGAUGGAUAUUCUUUGUACAGAAAUAGAUAAAAGGAAACGUGCUACUUCAAAUUGAACACGAACGAUGUGUUUUGAAAUCUAAAAAAUAAAUAUGCCAGAGAAGCAUCGUCUUAGCGUUCUAGUACUGCAUUAUCAUGUUUCUACUUUAGUGACCUCAGACAACGUAAUAUGAAAUGGAAAAUUAGUUGCAUGAUACACUGAUUGAAAUCUGGUACAAUUCUCUAGUUUGUGUGAAUUACUUGUUACAAAAAAGUAUUCGGUAUUAAGUAUCGUGACUAGUUUCAUUGAUAGUUCUUAUAAUAGUCGAAAUAAUUCUCUAUAAUAAUAUGCAUUCUUUUCUCCUCAGUCAAACGAAGAUAUGUCGGAGCCCAGAUCGAGUACCGAGGCAGAGGCGUGACGUUUUCGAUCAGACGAGGUCAUCGUUGUAUGCCCAAAAUGACGCUGGAAGGGUACGUGUACAGACGGAAUGCUGGCAAUGCUAUCAAAACGUACUGGCGUUGCGAGCGUGAAAAGCGGUUCAAGUGUUGCGCCCGUGCGAUAACGUACCGAGGUACGGGGCGCAUUAUCAUCAACGAACAUUGCCACAAUCAUAUGCCGGAAUUUUAGGGAAAAAUGGCAUUAAUGGAAUAAAUCCGAUGAUAAAAUAAACUCCGUUUUUGCCAUACAUUUAUUUCGUAGUACUAGAUCAAUGGCGUUCAUUUGUAACUAACUUCCCGUUUCAGAUACCCGAACUGCUCUAGUACCCAAUAUUCACAUUGACCUCGUUCAUUCCAGAUACCUCGAAUCCAACCCUCAACAGACUGCUUUUCAUCAAAGGACAACGUGGCCCGAAACUGAUCUUCGAUGGAUAUUCUUUCAACAGAAACAAAGGCCACGGUCAAGCCACCUACUGGCGUUGUACGAAACAUCAAUCGCUCGGCUGCAAAGCCAAAUUGGUUACCACAAAUCUUGGCAAAAAGAUUUCCAUCGGUACUCCGGUUCACUGUCACAAGGCCGAUUACGGUCAAUUGAUCUGAAUGACCGAUGGAAUAAAACAGACUUGGAAGGGUUUAGACGACAUUGGAAAUCAUAAUUAAAAUGUUGUUCUAGAUUUGAGAAUGUGUUUUCCAUGCUUUUAUGCUCACUACGGUUACAGCCGUUAUGUAUUGCAUUGUAGAUCACUACUGAAAAUGAAGCACAGCUAGAUUGAAAACCACAAAGCAAGGCAAAAAAGCAUCCAUCGGUACGCCGCUGCAUUGUCACGCUCCCGAUAUUGGUCCACUGAUUUGAAAUUAGUGCGUUGCCGUAAAAAGUGGUUGUUAGAGCUGUGGGCUUAAGAGAGAAUUGACAUCUUUUCUCAGACGUUAAAAAAUACAUGCAUUUAUUCUUGCAUUGCUGGUUUGGUGAGAUAAGCAAGGGCAAGUUCUUUUGUAAUAAAAACUUCUAUAGACUGAGAGACAAUAAAAUAAUUGUUUGAUUGACGUAAUACAAGAGUAAACUGCUAAAUUACAGACAUAAUUUCGAACAAUACUUCAGCGAACUGGAGCCGGUUGCAACAAAGAAGACGACUACCAUUUCCCUGGACAACCAAGAGUUGGAUUUUGUGCCCGGUAAACGUGGUACCAGUUUGCUCCGGAUCAACAACUAUUGCUACGCCAGAAAUAACAAAUCACAAAACUCUUCCUACUGGGUGUGCCGUACCAGAGCGCAACACCGGCCGUGCAAUUCCCGAGUCGUUACCACGCUGAAAAACAACGGACUGUAUCGGGUCGUGAUCACCAAUCCGGUGCAUCUCCACGAACCCAACAAAUCCGGUGCCAAUCGAAGUAUCGGGCAAGCGAGGAGGAUGCCCAAGCUGGUGGCACCAAAGCCGGUGCUAGAGGAAAUUUUCACUUUCACGUUUGAUUCGGACUAGAAUGUGGAUGAGUAGAAGUAAAAUUCUUUUAUUUUGUUUUGAUUGUGCAUCCAAACUAAAGAUUUUUAAUACUGAAAGUGCCAUAACGUCAUACCAUUCAGUACAGCCAGUACUAAUAAGGUGAUUCCUUACUGAUACAGAUGGAAUAUGCAGUACUAGAAUAAACUUACGUUUUCUAACCGAAACACCUACACUGUUUGCGGACUUUUGUACCCUUUAGACUAUCGGUGGUUGCUUAACUGAGCUUAGUUACAGUGGAAGAGUAAGGUGAGGCGAAUUUCAAGUGUUAAAGCAACAGUCUUUUGAUUGAGUGCAGUUUUCUCACUACUUCACGGGACAUCGAAAUGUCUCACCACCUCACUUCUAGUACCUAAUACUUUGGUGAAAAAUCGAAUUGACGGUAUUUUUUUUCGUAAUGCUUGAAAUUAUUGAACUGUUAUGUUUGAAUCAUGCAUCAUAAUUUUGUUUUCAAAAUGCAUUUGAACAUGUUGAAGUACUAGAUGAGAAAUCUUAGCUUGCACAAAUAUAAGCUUUGCUACUCCGUAGUGAUUUACUUGUGUUAUUGAAAAAAAUUCUUUUGAGUUACUCGACUCUCUAGUACUUCAAUGUGGAUAUUUCGUAUGUAUUGAAAUGGUACUGAGUUCUCGAUGGGUUUGAAGGAUUCAGGAACAUUUGUUGGAGUCUGAAGUGGGUUAUAUUCAAUUCAGAUUAUUUGCAAAAGAUUCAAAGUUCAUAUACAUUGCCAAUUUAUUUCAGAAACUGUGAAAUUAGACAUACAGUUAGUAUAGUUGUGACAUUCUUCGGAAUUGUGUAGCAAACAAUAAAGUGAUAUUUUACAACUUCUUUUUGUUUUUAUUUUUCCGAACAAGCAAGUCACAAAUGGCUUAGUAAUUUUCUAACAUAUCUUCCCAUCAUUAUUUCAGAUUUCAAACAAUACUUCAGCGAACUGGAACCGGUUGCCACAAAGAAACCCACUACCAUUACCCUGGACAACCAAGAGUUGGAUUUCGUGCCCGGUCAACGUGGUACCAGUUUGCUCCGGAUCAACAACUAUUGCUACGCCAAAAAUAACAAAUCACAAAACUCGACCUACUGGGUGUGUCGUACCAGAGUGCAACAUCGACCGUGCAAUGCCCGAGUUGUCACCACGCUGAAAAGCAACGGACUGUAUCGGAUUUUGAUCACCAAUCCGGUGCACAUCCACGAGCCGAACAAAUCCAGUGCCUAUAGAAGAGUCGAGCAGGUCAGGAGGAGACCCAAACUGGUGGCACCAAAGCCGGUGCUGGAGGAAAUUUUCACUUUCACGUUUGAUUCGGACUAGAACUGGAAUGAGUUAAAGUAAAAUUCAUUUGUUUUGUUUUGGUUUUGCAACCAAAAUGAAGAUUUUUCAAAUACUGUAAGUGCCGUAACUUCAUACCAUUUAGUACAGCCAGUACUACAAUAAGGUGAUUCCUUACUGAUACUGAUGGAUUAUGCAGUACUAGAAUAAACUUACGUUUUCUAGCCGAAACUCCUACACUGUUUGCAAACUUCUGUACCCUUUAGACUGUCGUCGGUGGUUGCUUAACUGAGCUUAGUUGCAGUAGAAGAGUGAGUUGAGGCGAAUUACAAGUGUUAAAGCAACAGUCCCUGCUCGAUCUCACCACCUCAACUGGAUCAUGUUAAAAUAUACUUGUUUAGUCCGAUAAACAAAAAAAUAAAAACUACUCUGUUGAUAGAAAUGAGAUUGAUUUGACUGCUUGGAGCAUGUGCGAUACCUUCUUGAUUAUUAAACCCAUGAAAUUAUUUUUAUCGUUCUAGAUUUCUGCCGGCUUGAACUAAAUUAUGAAAUCAGCCAAAAAGGCUUUCGAAGGCUGUUCAUUGAUGGGCACAGCUUCAUUCGAAAAGAGGCGCGUAAGAACACAAUUCGUUGGCGGUGUAAACACUACAAUGAUGUGCAUUACAAAUGUGCCGCUCGGGCUACGUCCAUUAAUGAGCCCAAUGGCAAACUUAUUUCCUACAAUGGCGAGCACAAUCAUGGAAUCAUAGGAAACGGACACAGACGAAGCGAUCGACAGCGAAUUGGAGCGGAACGAUGAGCAGAAUUUUCGGAUCAAUGUGUGUUCAUCAAGUCAGAAUUAAUUAUUCCCCCGAAUAAAAGCUGUGUGCGAUACUGUGAAACUUUUGUUUGUGUUUGAUUUUGAGUCAAAGCAACUGUCGUUGUACUAGAUUGCUAAUCAUUUGUAUUUUUCUUUUCAGUGAAAAAUGACGUAGCCUAUGUGCAGACAAGUCGAGGCAUACAACUGUCAAUCAAUGGUUAUUUGUUCAAAGCAUGGAAAUCGGUUAAGAACGUAGGAAUAUGGCAGUGUCUUCAGUUUUCUGAAUAUGAUUGCCCAGUACAGGCUAGUACGGAACGAACCAAGGAUGGAAAGCAAGCACGCAUUUCAAUUCAAGGACAACACAAUCAUCCCUCUUGCAAAGAUCGUAACAAAAACGCCACAAUGCGACCAGUUAUGAAAACCUACAGUAGAAAAAAACUCUAAUCCUCAAAAGGAAUAUCAAAUUGCUGCUAUUUGUGGUCAACAUUGUGAUGAAAAAAUAAAUUCCCAACUUCUCUACUCAUGUCUAGCUUUCUCAGUUUAAAAGUGGCAGCACUGAUUGACACGGUUCAAACCAUUCGCUUACUAAUACAACGAAUUUCAUUUCAGUUCUUGAUGUGGACCAUCCAACCGUCCAAUACAUUGCGACCAACAAAUCGCGUAGAUUGAUGGUAAAUGGCCACUCUUUCACGCGCAAAAAGCGAACCGAGCGGUAUACAAUCUGGGAGUGUUGCCAAUCGAGACCUCUAGGAUGCAAGGCUGCGGUCACAACCUAUCUGGAGAACACCGGUGCAGUUAACAUUCGUGGAUCGCACAAUCACGCCGUCGUAACGGAACAACGGAGAUUGGGCCAGCGAAAGCAGCUGAUCCCGAGCAGAAGGGCAUACCUUACAAAUACCGUGCAAAGAGCAACCUAUGCUCUAAUACCUCAAGUUGGUAUUGCUAUAUUAUUCUACGCAAUGUUAUAAGAACACCACAAUAACAAUUGGACGUAUUUGAGCAAAGUUAGGUGUUUAUGUGGUAUUGUUGAUUUAACUGGGAAAAUUACAGAAUAACAAGAUUUGGUAUUACAUCAUGGAGCUAUCGAAAAAUGUUCAAUUUAAUAGCAAGAUAUGUUAUUACUUUGUUAUUUUAUACCUUCUGGAUAACAAACAGAGCACUUGAAAUUUAUGGUAUGCAUUCAUUAUUGAAAUAACAAGACUUGUUAUUUUUCAGGUGUUAUUUAUACAAAAUUAUAAUAUUCAUUUUUGUUAUUUUGCCUCUUAUGUCCACCUAAUGAAGGGCAUAUCGAGGUAUAAUCUUAUUUAAGAUUAAUACCUCGAUAUGUUAUUUUGUUGCUAUUCUUUUCUGCUCGGGAUGGAGGAACGUCAGCGAGAGAGAAUACGUAGGAAAACUAAGAUAGAGGAAGCGUCAGUUUAAUUCAUCCUGAUCUUGAAAUCCUACGCAAUAUGGCGUAUUUUUCAACGAACUGCUAAUUCGAAUUGAUAUACACUGAACAAAUAAACUUAAAAUCUGUAUGUGGUAUGUGAAGUUCUAGUACUUCAUUCGUUUAAACCACACGGUCUCUCAUCAUUCUUGUUUAUUUACAGAUGUAACUUUUACAAUGCCAAAAAAAUGGCUUAUUUAGGGUUUGGCGAGUGUGCUUGAUACGAUAAAUCAAUUCCUCAAAUUAUCAAAACCACUCAUACGUCAUAUCUGAUUUUAUCACUGCAAAAUCAGUUUUUCGUUUCACUGAAUUCUUUUUUGCAGUAGUGAUCAGCGGUUAACUAAUCUGUGGCAAACUGUUUGUCUCAUUUACUCUGUUGUUUACGCAUGUCUUUGCACUCGUAGCAGAAAACGGAACCGAACCUCAUGUCCAGUAUACGAUCAGUAGUCGUGGAACUCCGCUGCUAUUGCUCGACGGGUUUACCUUUACCAGAGAUAAGGAACGUAACAGUUUUACCUCGUGGAAAUGUGCCCAACAUCGUACGCACAGGUACGGAUAAUGGUCGCGAAAAGCUCGCUCUAGUAUUACAUAUUUUAACAUUCACUCUUGUACUCCCUAUAGCUGCAAGGCUCGUGCCAACGCCGUCCGGGAUCGCAGUGGCCAGAAGAAAAUCAUAAUCAAACACUCGCACAAUCAUCCGCUCGUAACCGAGCGAAGAAAGAAAAGUUCCUCUAGAUAAAUAAAUGCGCUACUCUAGUACCUCAGCAAUAGAUAACCGACCACUGAGUUUUUUCAUUGAUUAUUUUGUUAAUUUUUUUUUAAUAUUGUUUGCUUCACAAUCUCUUUUGUUCUUUUAUAUUACCUAGAAACAUUAUUCUGAAAUUAUAAUAUUAUUUUCUAAUUAUCUGUAUUGUCACGGUCGCCAUGUUCUAUGUUGGUCUCUUGUCUUCAUCAUUUUACCAAAGCCAUGGCCGAUUCGAAAGCCAAAAAGAACUUUUCGAAUUCAGCCUUGCAAUUGACAUAAUCUAGUACAACAGUAGUCUUCAAUAACUCUUGUGAUGAUCUUUUUGCACAACAUCUGAACUUCUUAAAUUCUGACUUGGCAUGAUGUGCAUCAGAUGUACAAUGAGCUGCUAAUUUUCAGUUAAUGGAAUGGUCUUUUUUCUACCUGAACAAAUUGUCACGCACCAUAUGCAUAACUUCUUCAAUUUCAAAAUGUUGUUUAAGCUCUUGCUAUUCCACAGCUGAGGAAAAAAACAUGUCGGACCAAGAUUGUCAAAAUACUUAAACUUAGAAGAUCAUUCAGUAGUAUUCUAGUACUUUAGUGAUUAUCUUUUGUUUGUUUUCUAUGCUGUCUUAGCACAUGCAGACAAGACAUAAUGUACAUUAUUCACACCAUAAACUGUUAAUUUCCAGUCGAAAAGUGAUUCUCUAGUACCUCAAUGUAAAGCUUCUAAUUAUAUCAUACAAUUUUCCCCAGCACCAGUAACCUACACGGUGAACGCUCGUGGCAAUCGGCGAAUAUGUCACCUGGGAUACCUUUUCGAUGCGGAGAAAAGACGACACAAAUCCACCAGCUGGCGAUGCUGCCAGGCAAAGAAGCUUCAAUGUAAGGCUAGGAUAGUCGAGCGAAUCUCAAAUUGGGGCCAGCCAUCAUAUGAAUUCGUGCGGUCUGUGCACAAUCUUGGUGUCGUUCCUGGUGACAAGUUGCUGGGAUUAAGCUUCAAACUUUUAGAAGCACUAAAUAAAUUAUUUUAUUCAUGAGUUGAAGAUGUUUCCUUUUUUAUAUUAAAAACAUUCCUAGGUAUUAAUUGAAAUAAGUAUUCUAGUACUUCGUUUUCAUGUCUGUUCAUUUCAUAAUUUACUUUGGAGCAGUUUGUAACGAUAUUUUGCCAUUCAACAGAUGUUACCGAAGUUCAGUACGUGUUGAGCGCUCGUGGAGGCUUACAGCUAUGCAUCGAUGGCUUCCGCUACACUCGUGAUCGGAUUAAAGAUAACAAAAUUGUCUACCGUUGCGUGCACUACAAACCGCUAGGAUGCAAGGCACGUGCUCACACCGAUAAGGAUGACCCCAAGGUGAAGAUUAUCGAGAUGGAACACAACCAUCCACUGAAGAUGGACCGCCGGAAAAGUGGAGCCCUGAGACAGUUACUGGAGCAACGCAAACAGGAAAAUCGAGCGGCGGGUGGGCGUGCAAGUCGAAAAAAGUGAUGGCGAUCUGUUUUUCGGAGAUAAUCUAGUACCUCCUGCAGUUUGUAGGGACUUCGUUUGGUAUAUUCAAUUUGAAAGAGCAGUUGAAAUCGGUUGAAUACUGAGAUUUUAAAGCGUCGAAGCGUCUUCAAUCUAGUACUACAAUCUGAAAAUCAGGAAUCUGCUGGUAGUUUAUCUGUAAUCAUUUAGUCUUAGAGACGUCUUCAUGGUAGUUUAUUCUGGUUGAUGAAUAAAUCAAUAAAGCAACUAUGAUUAAUAUGUUGGUAUAUGUCUAAGCUUCUGAGACAAAAAAUCAGUUAUUUUAGUACAGUCAGGUACUUUGUCUUGAAAUAAUCACAUUCACUUUCAAACAAUUGCAGAACUAUGCAUAUCGUCUGUCCCACGAACAGUAAGGACGAUUACUACGAAGCUAUUCCGUGUUCAACAGAGCAAACCGAUCAUUGUCGCUGCCGUCGAGGGGUUCGUCUUUCCGCUACAAUCAGAAGAGGAAGUGGACCGUUUGGAGUACACCGCUCGAAGAGAUCGGAUCAUUCGUGAUCAAUAUGUAACGUUGUUGCAGGAAGUGAAACCUCACCAUCAGGAUGCAUCUAAUGUUUUUGCAGACCUGUUUUCCGACGAGGCACUUCUGGGAUACAACUAUUACGGGAAGACGAACCGGGCAAAAAAGAAGAAAGCCAUGCGGAAGUAUAUCAUAUUCACCGAUUGUAUGGUUGAUGCAUGGCUUUCGCAUGGGGUUACGGAAGAAAAUUUAAGAAUAUCUAUCGUUAAGGUCAUUGCCCGACUUAACCACAAAGUACGUAGCAGAGGAUAUCGGAGAAACCCUUCGAGCGUUACAACGCAGGAUGGUGCCGAAGUCGGGGACAAUGAAUCAAAAUUCAACCAUCGCGCAACAAUAAUGACAAUGUCGCAACCUGUAUUUGUUGCGACAAACAAACUCAUGCAACAUAAGUUUGUCCCAACUUGAAAAUAAUGGGAUUAACAUCGUACACCACGAGUUUAGAGAUUUUUAAGCCUUACAUUGCGAUUUUCGAACGGUAACUUCGAAUCGGUAAACACUGCAACUUUAGUGAAGCUCUAUCAUCAAACAGUUUCGACUUUGGGUUAGCAAUAAUUGAUUAUUCACGAGUUGAAAAGUACGCAACAAAUUCAGCUUCCGUAUUGUCUGCAACAAAAAAAUUCGAGAUCAUGUCAUUAUCUGUUACCAGUAGGGAUAAAGAGUAAUCGUCGCACCUUCUUUGUUGCUUGUUUUGUGCCUCUUUUGUCUGACAAUUCUCUUCACUGGUCGGGGAAGAAGUUUAUUGAAAGAAGUGUGAAGAUUUUGAUAUUUUUCCAGCGAAGCUAAGAAGUAAUGAUUUGUUAUGGUGCAGGAAGUUCCCAUGGUUAAGAUCAUUCCGUAAAGCAGUACUAGAUUGCAACAUCUUGGAAUCGAUAAACGACUCUUGAAUCAAUCUGUUCUUUAAGUUUUAAUGCUAUUGAAAUACGACUGUAUGGUUGACUCUCUCGAUUAACGGCUACUCAGUCUUGGGAUUUAAAAAACGAGUUGUUUUAUUCACCCGACG